rnacentral:rRNA from 1 species
UUCCGGUUGAUCCUGCCGGAGGUCACUGCUAUUGGGAUUCGACUAAGCCAUGCGAGUCGAGAGGGUUCGGCCCUCGGCUGACGGCUCAGUAACACGUGGAUAAUCUGCCCUUAGGUGGAGGAUACCCUCGGGAAACUGAGAAUAAUACUCCAUAGGUCUAGGAUGCUGGAAUGCAUCUAGGCUGAAAACUCCGGUGCCUAAGGAUGAGUCUGCGGACUAUCAGGUUGUAGUCAGGGUAAAGACCUGACUAGCCUACGACGGAUACGGGUUGUGAGAGCAAUAACCCGGAGAUGAUAUCUGAGACACGAUAUCAGGCCCUACGGGGCGCAGCAGGCGCGAAAACUUCACACUGUGCGAAAGCACGAUGAGGGAAUCCCAAGUGCCAGCUCGUAAGAGUUGGCUGUUUUUCUGUCUAAAACACAGAGAGAGUAAGAGCUGGGUAAGACGGGUGCCAGCCGCCGCGGUAAUACCUGCAGCUCGAGUGGUGACCGUUAUUAUUGGGCCUAAAACGUCCGUAGCCGGCUUAGUAAAUGCCUGGGUAAAUCGUGUAGCUUAACUAUACGAAUUCCGGGUAGACUGCUAAGCUUGAGACCGGGAGAGGCUAGAGGUACUCCUGGGGUAGAGGUGAAAUCCUGUAAUCCUGGGGGGACCACCAGUGGCGAAUGCGUCUAGCUAGAACGGAUCUGACGGUGAGGGACGAAGCCCUGGGGCGCAACCGGAUUAGAUACCCGGGUAGUCCAGGGUGUAACGCUGCCUAGCAUGACGUCAGCCGGGGUCCGAGUCUCGAUUAGUGUCGGAGAGUAGUUGGAGAGCAAGCUGCCUGAGAAGUACGGUCGCAUAGAUUGCAACUUGAGGACUUGGCGGGGGGAGCAC